rnacentral:rRNA from 1 species
GACGAACCGAGCGAACGUUGUUCGGAAUCACUGGGCUUAAAGGGCGCGUAGGCGGGCAUCCAAGUCUGUGGUGAAAUCCGGCAGCUUAACUGUCGAAUUGCCAUGGAUACUGGGUGUCUCGAGGGAGGCAGGGGUGCGCGGAACUAAUGGUGGAGCGGUGAAAUGCGUUGAUAUCAUUAGGAACUCCGGUGGCGAAGGCGGCGCACUGGUCCUUUUCUGACGCUGAGGCGCGAAAGCCAGGGGAGCAAAC